rnacentral:lncRNA from 1 species
AAAUUUGGAGUUAAUUUGUGUUAGAUCAUGCUAUGUUCGGUUUUAGACCUCACCUUAGGAAAUUUAUGAUACGAAGUAUUGAGUAGUGAGUGAUUUGGGAUAUGAUUUGGGCCUUCUUUGAACCGUUUGAGCCUUUCAAGCCGACAUUUUUAUCGAAAUUAUCAUUAGAACCUUGAUUUGAACCUCGGAGAAAAGGUGGUCUUUCUUUUAACCAAAGUGUAUAAGGUAGAAAAAUGGAGAUUUUUG